GCCUGGGUGGCUCAGUCGGUUAAGCGUCUGACUUCGGCUCAGGUCAUGAUCUCAUGGUUUGUGGGUUCGAGCCCCGCGUCGGGCU
rnacentral:tRNA from 1 species